UACGGGGGGAGCAAGCGUUGUUCGGAUUUACUGGGCGUAAAGGGCGCGUAGGCGGUCACGACAAGUCAGUUGUGAAAUCUCCGGGCUUAACUCGGAACGGUCAACUGAUACUGUCGGACUAGAGUGCAGAAGGGGCAACUGGAAUUCUCGGUGUAGCGGUGAAAUGCGUAGAUAUCGAGAGGAACACCUGCGGCGAAGGCGGGUUGCUGGGCUGACACUGACGCUGAUGCGCGAAAGCUAGGGGAGCGAACGGG
rnacentral:rRNA from 1 species